AGCGAACGCUGGCGGCAGGCUUAACACAUGCAAGUCGAGCGGGCCCUUCGGGGUCAGCGGCGGACGGGUGAGUAACGCGUGGGAACGUGCCCUCUGGUUCGGAAUAACUCAGGGAAACUUGAGCUAAUACCGGAUACGCCCUUUUGGGGAAAGGCUUGCUGCCGGAGGAUCGGCCCGCGUCUGAUUAGCUGGUUGGUGGGGUAACGGCCUACCAAGGCAACGAUCAGUAGCUGGUCUGAGAGGAUGAUCAGCCACACUGGGACUGAGACACGGCCCAGACUCCUACGGGAGGCAGCAGUGGGGAAUAUUGGACAAUGGGGGCAACCCUGAUCCAGCCAUGCCGCGUGAGUGAUGAAGGCCUUAGGGUUGUAAAGCUCUUUUAUCCGGGACGAUAAUGACGGUACCGGAGGAAUAAGCCCCGGCUAACUUCGUGCCAGCAGCCGCAGUAA
rnacentral:rRNA from 1 species